UAGGGAAUUUUCGUCAAUGGCGCAAGCCUGAACGAGCGAUGCCGCGUGAGUGAAGAAGGCCUUCGGGUCGUAAAGCUCUGUUGCCGGGGGAAAAAAAGGCAGCAUCAGGAAAUGGGUGCUGACUGAUGGUGCCCCGCCAGAAAGUCACGGCUAACUACGUGCC
rnacentral:rRNA from 1 species